GCCCAUGCAAAAACCCCAUUCGAAGGUCACCAGCAUCAAAGACUAAAAUUGAUAAAUCCUCGAAGAUGAGGAAAAACCAGCACAAAAAGGCUGAAAAUUCCAAAAACCCGAAUGCCUCUUCUCCUCCAAAGGAUCACAACUCCUUGCCAGCAAGGGAACAAAACUGGACAGAGAAUGAGUUCGAUGAAUUGACAGAAAUAGGCUUCAGAAGGUGGGAAAUAACAAACUCCUCUGAGCUAAAGGAGCAUGUUCUAAAAGCUAAGAACCUUGAUAAAAGGUUACAGAAAGUGUAGCAACCCCAAAACACAUAAUUGUCAGAUUCACCAAGGUUGAAAUGAAGGAAAAAAUGUUAAGGGCAGCCAGAGAGAAAGGUCAGGUUACCUUCAAAGGAAAGCCCAUCAGACUAACAGUGGAUCUCUCUGCAGAAACCCUAUAAGCCAGAAGAGAUUGGGGGCCAAUAUUCAACAUUCUUAAGGAAAAGAAUUUUCAACCCAGAAUUUCAUAUCCAGCCAAACUAAGCUUCAUAAAUGAAGGAGAAAUGAAAUCCUUUACCCAUGAGCAAAUGCUGAGGGAUUUUGUCACCACCAGGCCUGCCUUACAAGGGCUCCUGAAGGAAGGACUAAAUAUGGAAAAGCAAAACCAGUACUAGCCACUGCAAAAACAUACCAAAAUGUAAAGACUGUUGACACUAUGAAGAAACUGCAUCAACUAACGGGUAAAAUAACCAGCUAGCCUCGUAAUGACAGGAUCAAAUUCACACAUAACAAUAUUAACCUUAAAUGUAAAUGGGCUAAAUGCCCCAAUUAAAAGACACAGACUGGCAAAUUAGAUAAAGAGUCAAGACCAAUCACCAUGCUGUAUUCAGGAGACCCAUCUCAUGUGCAAAGACACACAUAGGCUCAAAAUAAAGGGAUGGACAAAUAUUUACCAAGCAAAUGGAAAGCAAAAAAAAGCAGGGGUUGCAAUCCUAGUAUCUGAUAAAACAGACUUUAAACCAACAAAGAUCAAAAAUGACAAAGAAGGGUAUUACAUAAUGGUGAGGAGAUCAAUGCAAGAAGAAGAGCAAACUAUCCUAAAUAUACGUGCAUCCAAUACAGGAGCACCCGAUUCAUAAAGAAAGUUCUUAGAGACCUACAAAGCGACUUAGACUUCCACACCAUAAUAGUGGGAGAUUUUAACACCCCACUGUCAAUAUUAGACAGAUCAACGAGACAGAAAAUUAACAAAGAUAUUCAGGACUUGAAAUCAGCUCUGUACCAAGUGGAUCUAAUAGACAUCUACAGAAUUAUCCACCCCAAAUCAACAGAAUAUACAUUCUUCUCAGCACCACAUAGCACUUAUUCUAAAAUUAACCACAUAAUUGGAAGUAAAACACUACUUAGCAAGUGUAAAAGAAUGGAAAUAAUAACAAACAGUCUCUCAGAUCACAGUGCAAUCAAAUUAGAACUCAGGAUUAAGAAACUCACUCAAAACUACACAACUACAUGGAAACUGAACAACUUGCUCUUGAAUGACUACUGGGUAAAUAACGAAAUUAAGGCAGAAAUAAAUAAGUUCUUUGAAACCAAUGGGAACAAAGACACAACAUACCAGAAUCUCUGUGACACAGCUAAAGCAGUGAUUAGAGGGAAAUUUAUAGCACUAAAUGCCCACAUGAGAAAGUGAGAAAGAUCUAAAAUGACAUGCUAACAUCACAAUUAAAAGAACUAGAGAUGCAAGAGCAAACACAUUCAAAAGCUAGCAGAAGGCAAGAAAUAACUAAGAUCAGAGCAGAAGUCAAGGAGAGAGAGACACAAAAAACCCUUCAAAAAAUCAAUGAAUCCAGGAGGUGGUUUUAUGAAAAGAUUAAAAAAAUAGAUAGACCACUAGCCAGACUAAUAAGAAAAAAGGGAAGAAUCAAAUAGACACAAUAAAAAAUGAUAAAGGGGAUGUCACCACUUAUCCCACAGAAAUACAAAUUACCAUCAGAGAAUACUAUAAACACAUCUAUACAAAUAAACUAGAA
rnacentral:lncRNA from 1 species